rnacentral:rRNA from 1 species
AGGUCUGAGGUGGAAGUGUGGUGACACAUGGAGCUGACAGAUACUAAUCGAUCGAGGACUUAACCAA